ACGGGGGAUGUCAGGAUAGGCAAGCUGAUUAUAUACGGUGGAACGGCGCUGAUGAUAGCAACAGCACGUGGUCACACAAGGAUAGUGGAACUGCUCGUGGAGAAGGAGGGCGGGAUGCAGACAAGUUAUGGUUCGACAGCCCUCAUAAGGGCAGCGGAGAAUGGUCACACAGACUGUGUUAGACUACUAGUAAAGAAGGAGGGCGGGGUACAGAAUAAGUAUGGAUGGACAGCUCUCAUGAGUGCAGCACAGAAUGGCUACACAAGGAUAGUGGAAGUACUGCUGGAAAAGGAAGGGGGUAUGCAAAGGAGUGACGGCCAGACAGCCCUCAUGAGUGCAACACGGUAUGGCCAUACAGACUGUACUAGAAUAUUGCUAGAGAAGGAGGGUGGGAUGCAGAACAAUGGUGGUUCAACAGCCCUCAUGUUCGCAGUAAGGUAUGGCCACCUAGAGUGUGUUAAGCUACUCCUAGAGAAGGAGAAGAACAUAGACAGGAGGAAGCUCUUGAACACAGCCGAGGGAAAUGAAGAGAUACUAGCGAUCCUCUCGAAGUAGCCAGAGUAAACAGCGAUCGCCUCUACAUCAGACUUUACACAUCAGAGCCCUACCCCGAUGCCCAUGCACAGGCACAGCCCACCACAGCAGCCUCUAGCGCGGGAGCGAACGCGGCUCAGGGAAGUCGGCAAGCCGGCUCCGUAACCUCGGGAAAAGGAGUGGCUCUGACGGCGCGCCGGGUCAGAACUGGAACGGACGCGGGGAUCCCGACUGUUUACUAGAAACACAGCGUCGCGAGGGCCGCACCCGGCGCUGGCGCGACGUGAUUUCUGCCCAGUGCCACGACCGUCACCGUGAAGCGAUCCGCCGAAGCCCUGGUAAACGGCGGGAGUAACUAUGACUCUCUUAAGGUAGCCAAAUGCCUCGUCGGGCAAUUUCCGACGUGCAUGAAUGGACCAACGAGGAUCCCACUGUCCCGAGCCGCGCCUCCGCGAGCCUCCAGCCUCGGGAACGGGCGAGGGCCGGCCAGCGGGGCAAGAAGACCCUUUUGAGCUUGACUCCA
rnacentral:rRNA from 1 species